rnacentral:tRNA from 1 species
GGAACCAUGGCUCAAUGGUAGAGCGUUCGAUUCAAUUAACAAAGGCCGUGGGUUCAAAUCUCAGGUGUUCCA